rnacentral:lncRNA from 1 species
GCGGGCCACUUUGGGCUGUGCCACUGGUGGGAGCUGAUUCAGGAGCCGGCCCAGCCGGCGGCUUUGAUGGGAUUUCAUCACCGCCUGUGCCUUGGCGGGGCGCCCAGAGAGAGCCCCGGGCUAUCAGCGCGCAGAACGGCUCCUCCCAGCCCCAGAGGGGGACCUGGUGCUGAAGGGUCCCGAAGCAGCCUAGAGGCUGAUCCCACGCCCAAGCCAUCUGCCCUCCCCACACUUUCCCAAGGAGCCCAGACGGAGAAAGGACCCAGCGAAUUAACGCGGAGCGACUCGUUAAUGACUUUAUUGCAGGGACCGCGGCCCUAACCUCACCGGUGUGGAAUUCCUUUCUCCCUCUCAAGAGUCCCUUUUGCUGGGUCUCUUGAGUCCAGCCCGCAACCUGCGGAAUUCAGCUCCUAAUUACUUGGGUCUCAACCAGUGCCUGCAACUUCACAGCGACUCGACUUCCUACCACCCUGUCCUGGUCGUCCCAUGCCAGCCACACCCCGGCCUGUUCCCUUGCUGCUUCCUUGACUAGCAUGGAUGCAGCACGGCAGCUGUGUGCACCCUGCACUCUCCUGCGUGCCACUGAGCAGCCACAGGGACCCAUCCAAGCCAGCUUGUCACUGUGCGGAAUGCGGAAUGCCAGGGCUCGGCAUGGCAAGCGCAACUCCUGGUUCCUGUCGUGAGUGGACAGGAGAUACACCGCUAGUACCCCAGACACACUUUUCCAUAUGCAAACUAUGGCCACCCCAACAUCACACCGUACCAGACACAUCGCCAUUAACUUCCACUGGACUAGGGUCUUCUCUUGAGAAAAGCAGAGAGCAGACAACAGUUCAAAGGAGACAAGCAGCAAGUCAGCCCCCAAAAGGAUCCUCUGCUAGGAGCCCAGCUGGCCCGGACAGUGGUCCUCAAAGCCCAACAUCCCACCAACCUCGCCUCUCCCACCAUUCCCUGGGUGUCGAGUCUGGCCGCCCCAUAGAAUCAUCUGCUGGGCUCUCAUUGUGCUACAGUCCUUCAAAACAAGACCAAUCGCUUAUUGAAGAAUAAACUACAUCGAUAAUAACUACCCAAACCUUAGCCAGGCAUGGAGCCGUGUGCAUGUAAUCCCAGGACUAGAGAGUCUGGGGCAGGAGGAUCGCUGCUAGUUCAAGGCCAGACUAGGCUACAAAAUGAGUUCAAGACCAGCCUGGAAUCCAUAACGAGGACCCCCAUCUAAAAAUACAAAACCAAACCAAACCUGCUCAUCUCUUGAGUAAGCAACCUGUUGAAUGUUUUUAAAUCUUAACCAGCACCCGGAACAAAGCAGCAGCCUUUCAGAUCAGAGGCCGGGCUUGGUUUGACUGCACCUCAGUACCAGCCUCAGUGGCCGGCAUGAGGUAUGUACCUACCAAAGGGGUGUUGGAUGCAUCCCCGAAUGGUUACCUUUGCAUCUCCAUCUCUGUGUUGGACCCACGUAUCUUUUCUACCAGUUCCCACUUUGCCUCCGCUGCCCAAGGGACUGAUUCAGGAUUUCUUGUCCACCCUUCAAAAGGAUCCAUGCUGACUGACGAGCCUGUGGAGAAACCUUGAUAGCUGUGCAGACGGACAGGGAGAGCUGGCUGCUGACAGGCGCCGUGGCGAGCUGCGAGCUGCACUGCAGGGGAAAAGGGUGUUUCCUCUUCGUAGACUUGGAGCCGUGGUCUCGGCCACCAAUGCUAGUCAUGGCAUCCAUGUCUGCUAAGGACAAAGGACUGAGUCACUAGGGAACAGCACCCUGCAGCCGCCUUGCAUUAGCUCUAAGCAAAGGGACAAGCAGUGUGCACUCCUCCGUGUGCCAGGUGUCCAGGGCCACCCUGUUUCGAUGGCUGCCACCACACUGGAAGGGCAGAGGGGGUACAUGCCCUACACCCAUGUAAGCUGUCACAGCACACAUUCAGUGGGUGCCCCCUGAAUAUUAGUGGAUGUCUCCCAAAAGUCCAUGAGAAAUGAUUAGCCUACCAUUUAGUUAGCACUUACUACAUGCCAGGCACUGGCAUACGGGAUGACUUGUCCUCAUCACAUUUAUACUUUGCUGUUAUUCUCUCCGAUGAUCUGAUUACCCCCUCCACUUUUUUUUUUAACGAGGUUUCACUUUGUAUCCCAGGAUGGCUUUGAACUCACUUUGUGGCCCAGGCUGGCCUCAAACUCACGAGAGCCUCCUGCCUCAGCCUCCUGAAUGCUGCGAUUACAAGCAUACACCACCAGGCCCUGAAUUCUUAGGAUAGAUUUUUUUUUUCCCUGCAGAGUUAAGAGUUUCUCAUUCAUGUUAAUCCAAGGAUUUAUGAUCAAAGGAGUAUUUUGGGAGGCCCACAGUACGUGAGAGUUGGAGCCCUGGAAGCGUUCACACCUUCUAGAGUCCCAGGGAGGCCGAGAUUUCUGAAGCAGUGGGGAGCAUUCCCAAGACAGAGCAGCCAGGAACAGCUCUGUGGAGGGAGAGCACCCUGCUCCUGACUGAACGGCCAUUCCUGUCACUGGGACAAAACAACCAACACCCACAACUUGAAGAAAGAGAACUUAAAUUUUGGCUCCUGGUUUCGAUCCAGUCACCUGGGUCCAGGGAAGAAGCUGGAUAGCAGAGGGACGUGGUGACAAACAGCUGCUCGCUCCCGGAGCUCAGAGCGGCACCCAUCCGCUGAUGAGGACAGUGCCCCAUGCGGUCCAGUCCCCUUCCCACGUGCGUGAGCGUUUGGGUUUACAGUUUAGAUAUAAACCCUAGUAACACGUCAUCCCCCACACCCCGGGCAACCCCAGGAAGGGACACGCUGGCUCCGUUCACAUCAACCACCAAGCAGAAGCCUGGUUCACGCUCACCAAUGCCUGGGCCUGUUCUCUGCUCAAGGACAGACACAGGGUCCCUCUGUCCCAGGCCUAGCUCUCUCCCCACCCUUCCCAGACCUCCCAUCCACAUCCUCUUCACCCACUGCCCUCAUCCCUGUGCUCCGAUCUCUAGUCCAUCCUGUUUGUGCGCAUUACGGCUUAUGUCUAGAUGUCUCCCCAAAGGCUCGUGCAAAUGCAGGUGGAGCUGUGAGAGGUGAUUGGAGAAAGGGGGUUGUAGGUGGCUUGCUGGUAGGAGGUGCGGUCUGGUGGGAAGAAGCGGGUCCCUGGGAGUGUGGCCCGGGGAGCUUGUUCCUCUUGGCUUCCUGUCCACUCCACGAGCAGCUUUUCCUCCCCACCAGGCCCUUUUACCUUGGAGCUACCUGACUACGGACUGUGUCUCAGUGACAAAAAAGUGACUAAGACACUGUGGAUCCUCUAAGUCAUGUUAAUAGUCAUUAUGGUAGGGGAGGACUUCUGAAUUCCUCAGGUUUGGUGCCAACAGGAGAAAGUGUGGGAAAGGAAACCCACGCAUUUGUGAACAUUACACAUUUAGUGUAAGAGCUGCCUGUGUAACAAAGAGAGUGCCCAGGCGACACCAGUUUUCCUGAGAUUCGCUUAUUCUGCCCCAGUAAGGCUUGACUCGACAAAACAUUUUAGUACAUGUGCUGCCAAAGCAAGCACGACUCGGCAGAACAUAAUCCGAGUUAUCAUCCCUGCUUCUCCGCUGCUUCUUAGGGGCUCCCGACCCUUUUCAGGCAGCUAGCUUCAACGCUAUUGUAUUUCCCCUGUGCUUUGAAACUGAACCCCUCUUUGAUGGAUAUUAAUGGAACGUGCUUUCGUGUCUUCCUAAUGAACUCUCACUUGGAAAAUACCCGAAAUGAGGCAGAUGUGAGAAGGGUACCAAGAUUUUGUUUCAAGCAAACAGAGACCCUCUCCUCUGGUUGCCCCUCUUUGGUGGACCCUAGAAGAAUCAUCAGCCAAGAAUCACCAAUGGGAUUUGGGAUUGUUUACAGUUUUGCUUUCAAGCCCCCCAGCCCUUUCAGGCUGUGUUUUACUCAAUCAAAGACUUCAGACCAGCGGGAGUGAGGGUGGGGGUGGGAGCGAGGAUGUGUCACGGACAGCGCCAUCUUGCUGGUUCUUAGAUACCCGGAUGAGAUUUAAACCUGUGCUGACCUGGCUGGAAGUGUGCCGGGUGGGGUGCAAAGGCUUCCUUGGGCUGCUCCUGGUGAACUCCAGAGUCUGGAAGUCAUGAGGUGGUGGCCAUGUUCAUUGGGGACCCUUGGGUGGCGAGCCUGGAAUAGAGCCUGAUGGCAGUCCUGUGUGGAUUGCUGGCUUAAUGAGGGGAGAAAUCUACACUACAUGAAGACAGCUUGACAGCACAGUGAAAACCUCUCCCUCCCUUCCUUCUUUCCUUGUUUUUCUUUCUUUCUCCUUUCCUUCCUUCUUUCCUUCCUCCCCUUUCUCCUUUCUUCCAACUGAAAAUCUAUAGAGAACCAUUGUCUCUAUACCCAACACCCACAAGUUAAGGGAGGAAAGGUUUAUUUGGCUCUCAGUUUGCAGAGAUUUUGGUCCAUAGUCAGCCGGCUCCAAGGCAGUGUGGCAUGGAGGACGGGCUUGCAGCGGAGAAACAGUUCAUGGCUGGCAGAAGGCAGCAAAGCAAGCAAGAGACAAGAUAAGGCUCUUCCUGUCCCUUAUAUUGUAUCCAGGCUACCAGGAUUAGGGCAGUGCCAAACUAAGCUGUGGACUGAUUUAGUAAUCACCCACCCUUAAUCCCAGCCACGCACACUAUAUUCAGCCACCUCUGAAAAACCCCCACCUCACUGUAGGAGGCUUUGGGGGAUAUCUAGACCCAAACCGUGACAAUCAUGUUCUAAUCCUAAUCCACAUUAAUUUUCAAACAAAACUAAGUAUGUAUGUAAAAGUCUAAGUAGAAGAGAAAUAAAUGAACAGUCAAACUCAAAGCCAUUCCACGUGCCUAUGUCAGUUUUCUUGUUUUUCCCUCAAUGGGCACUUCUUCCUUAAGGGGAGAUCGGGUAUAAUAAUUAAUUUUUUGUAAGCAAAGUCCUGUGCAGCCGGACACUUCAGGGUAGAUCAAAUGCAGUUAUCAAAGCGCUAAAUCCUCAGUGUGGUCCAGGAGAAAAAGGAGCAGAUCAGGCCUCGGGAAAGCUGCAUUCUUCACCCUGCUGAAUCAUUUGCUGGCUGUGCAGCACAGAUAAGUCUUUGCCUUUUGAGUCUCCGCUUUGUCAUCUAUUAAAGUGGGGACAGUGUCCAGAGUCUGCCUCUGUGGGUUUGUUCAGGAGUCUAACGUGGUCAUGAGGUGGUGAUACCUGGGACCCCAGCACAUGACUGAUUCUCAUCAGCCACCUGUGACACACAUACCUGAAAAGCAGAGAUGGCCAGUGUCACCCAGGGUCCUCCCUGGGCUGUGCCAGCACAGGGGCUGAGCCCCCCUCUGAGUUUGGGCUGUGUUGCCCCCUCAGCCUGGAAUGCCCACCUCCCACUUCCCUCUUCUGCCUCUCUACACCCUACUCCUCUCUCAAAGCUCCCAGAUGCUGGCUUUUCCAGGCGUCCUCUCCGAUUCUCCUGUCCCCAGGGAGCAAUGGCCGUGUUUCCUCCUGAGCUCCCACGGCCCUCCAUCUCUGGGAGAUUCUGUCUUUAUUCCAUCAUUGUGCUCCUAACCUGACCUCACUCUACCCUCUUUCUCCAGUAUGAAUUGCAUCUUGGGAAACAAUCAGGCACCCGUGCCCAGUGGGCACCAACUACUGUCACCGCGUUCUCAUCCCAAUUGUAUUUAAAUGGUAAUGUAGUCCCCCUGGCACUGAACCGGGUUCACUAAAAUCUGCAAGCGCCAGACCUGAGUGUUCCCUUCCAGUUACCGUGAGGCCAUGCACACUGAGCGGAUGGCCCCAGUGUGCACGCGCUUUUGUGGACUUGGCAGUGCGCAGAGUGAGGACCGCCUGUACUUCUCGCGAGGACACAAGAAAUACAUAACAUAGAACGAAUCCACCUAAUCACACAAGGAGAAAAAAACUGAGUCAUGGGCACCUAGGGCAGCCAGCCACAUAAAGCUCUGUAUUUACAGAGCUCUUGCAGCAACUCAUAC